AUUGAACGCUGGCGGCAGGCCUAACACAUGCAAGUCGAGCGGAUGAAGGGAGCUUUCUCCUGGAUUCAGCGGCGGACGGGUGAGUAAUGCCUAGGAAUCUGCCUGGUAGAGGGGGAUAACGUCCGGACACGGGCGCUAAUACCGCAUACGUCCUGAGGGAGAAAGUGAGGGAUCUUCGGACCUCACGCUAUCAGAUGAGCCUAGGUCGGAUUAGCUAGUUGGUGGGGUAAAGGCCUACCAAGGCGACGAUCCGUAACUGGUCUGAGAGGAUGAUCAGUCACACUGGAACUGAGACACGGUCCAGACUCCUACGGGAGGCAGCAGUGGGGAAUAUUGGACAAUGGGCGAAAGCCUGAUCCAGCCAUGCCGCGUGUGUGAAGAAGGUCUUCGGAUUGUAAAGCACUUUAAGUUGGGAGGAAGAGCAGUAAGUUAAUACCUUGCUGUUUUGACGUUACCAACAGAAUAAGCACCGGCUAACUUCGUG
rnacentral:rRNA from 1 species